GGAAAUCGGACGGAUCGGAUCGGAUUUGGGUGUUUCGGAAAUUUUCCGAUUUUUUUCGGAAGACUAAAAUGACUUCCGAUUCCGAUUCCGAUUUUUUCGGAAUUCAAGAAUCGAUUCCGAUUCUGAUUUUUUCGGAAAUUUCGGAAAAUCGGAAUUUUUCGGAAUCAUUCAUUUUCGGAAUUUUUUCGGAAUAUUUUCGGAAUACCAGGAUUUAAUAAAGAAAAAAAAUGAAAACAGAAUAAAGGGCGGCGGGGCUAGUGCUCGUCGAGAGAACGAGAGCGGCGUGGCGGAGAGAACGAGGGCGGUGGGGCUGGUGCUCUGCGGAGAGAACGAGGGCGGCGGGGCUGGUUUUCGGUGGAGAGAAAGAGGGCGGUGUUGCCGGUUCAAGGCUGAGAGAAUGACGGAGGCAGCGCUGGUGCUUGACGGAGAGGAAGAGGCGGAGCGGGUGGUGGUUGACGGAGAAUCGAGGGUGGUUUUAG
rnacentral:lncRNA from 1 species